GAUGAAGAACGUAGCGAAAUGCGAUAAGUAAUGUGAAUUGCAGAAUUCAGUGAACCAUCGAAUCUUGGAACGCACAUUGCGCCCGGCAGUAAUCUGCCGGGCAUGCCUGUCCGAGCGUCAUUUCUCCCCUCGAGCGCAGCUUUCCCCCCCGGGGGAGGGCCGCGCCCGGUGUUGGGGCGCUACGGAGGAGCCCAGCGCUCCCCCGUAGGCCCCGAAAUGUAGUGGCGGUCCCGCCGCGGCGCCCCCUGCGUAGUAGUUUUACAACUCGCAUCGGGUCCCGGCGGAGGCCAGCCGUCAAACCCCCCAACUUCAAUAGUUUGACCUCGGAUCAGGUAGGGUUACCCGCUGAACUUAAGCAUAUCAAUAAGCGGAGGA
rnacentral:misc_RNA from 1 species